AUUACACAAUGGGGGAAACCCUGAUGCAGCGACGCUGCGUGAGUGAAGAAGUAUUUCGGUAUGUAAAUCUCUAUCAGCAGGGAAGAUAAUGACGGUACCUGACUAAGAAGCCCCGGCUAACUACGUGACAGCAGACGCGGUAAUACGUAGGGGGGCAAGCGUUAUCCGGCUUUACUGGGUGUAAAGGGAGCGUAGGUGGCAGGGCAAGUCAGAUGUGAAAACCCGGGGCUCAACCCCGGGAGUGCAUUUGAAACUGUCCAGCUGGAGUGCAGGAGAGGUAAGCGGAAUUCCUAGUGUAGCGGUGAAAUGCAUAGAUAUUAGGAGGAACACCAGUGGCGAAGGCGGCUUACUGGACUGUAACUGACACUGAGGCUCGAAAGCGUGGGGAGCAAACAGG
rnacentral:rRNA from 1 species